rnacentral:tRNA from 1 species
AUUUAAAUAGCUUAAAUUUAAAAGCGCAACAUUGAAGCUGUUGAGAUGAUAAUAAUUAUCUUUGAAUA